rnacentral:rRNA from 1 species
GACGUAGGGCGCGAGCGUUGUCCGGAAUCACUGGGCGUAAAGCGCGUGUAGGCGGUCCGUUAAGUCUGAUGUGAAAGCCCGGGGCUCACCCCCGGAAGGGCAUUGGAAACUGGCGGACUCGAGUCCCGGAGAGGAGGGUGGAAUUCCUGGUGUAGCGGUGAAAUGCGUAGAUAUCAGGAGGAACACCGGUGGCGAAGGCGGCCCUCUGGACGGUGACUGACGCUGAGGCGCGAAAGCGUGGGGAGCAAACA